AGGGCCCGUAGUAAAGGGCACUUCCGGCUCUCGACCCCGCCCACCUGCUGGUCCUCGGGUGCGCCGGCGCACUGGCUGCUUCUUGGCCGGCGGGGCGGCCAUGGUGGUGUUGGCGGCGGCCACUGGGACGGAGCAAACUGUGCACACUUUGGCCUCCUCACUAUUUCUCCUCUUGCAAAUGAAGAGUUUAAAACCACAUAAUUCAACUAGUGAAGAAUCUUCAACUAUUUGAGAUCCUAUCUGAUGUGGCUUCCUGCAUGGUUGACCAUUUAGGAAGAAAGCAUACAUUGGCAGCUCUCCCAGUGAGAUCACAAUCAGGAGGAGAGAAAAUUUCUCAGGAGAAACACAAGGCUGGCCAUCUGUGUCAAAGAGGAGCAUGGAAUGGACCUUGCUAACACCGUGGUCUCCAAAUUCCAGUCUCCAGGGCCACAGACAAUGCAUUUCUGCUGUUGAAGCACCCCCUUCCUCCACAAAUGAAUUAGGAAAUCCAACUGGAGAGCACCAGUGGACCCUAUGGAAACAAGUGGGUCCCCUGAGGUGUGACAUUUGAACCAGUCACUGUGCCUUCUCCUUAGUCAGAGACAUCAACGAGAAUGACAAGUGCUUUCCCACCAGGAGCCAUAGGAAUCUGACCGUGAACAGGGCUUCCAGUCUCACUGUUACUUUUUAAAAUAUGGGCAGCUAGCCCGGCGUGAUGGUGUGUGUCUUUAAUCCCAGCACUUGGGAAGCAGAAGCAGGGCUCUCUAUGAGGUCAGCUUGGUGUACACAGUGAGAUCCAGGCUAGAGAAACCGUGUCUUAAGUAAAUAUGUAGACGGAUAUUUGAGGAGGGUUUUCAGGACCUGAGGAAGGGUCACAUGGAGGUCGAGUCAUUGGUACAGCGGGACUACGUUUAAAACUUGCUGAUUUGUCAUCCUGGUUAGCCACGGGAGGAGGUGAUGGUCUGAUUCUCAUGAGCAAGUCACUAAGAGCCACGCGGCAACGCAUUGCCUGUAAUCCCAGUGCCUGGCAGGCUAAGGCAGUGAAGUUUCACUUUCUGGUACUGCCUGGGCCACAGGGAAAUCCUGUCUCAAAUAAAUUACAUAACAUAUACACACAUAUAUGUGUAUAUAUAUAUUUAUAUAUAUAUAUAUAUAUAAACUCUGUCAUUCACCAUCUAUCUAUCUAUCUAUCUAUCUAUCUAUCUAUCUAUCUAUCUAUCUAUCUAUCUAUCUAUUUAUCUACUUACCUACCUACCUAUGUAUCUAUCUCACUGAGAGCCUGGUGGAAGAUCAUUUUAUCCUAACACUGAGACUCAGCAUAGUGCCUGGAAUGUGGUAGGUACUAAAGUCAUGCCUCCCUUAGCUUUCGGCUCUGAGAAGGGGUUACCUUUAUUCUCUUACCAGUCAGAGGUGGAUGGCCUGCCCUUUGAUAUUGAUUUAUUAUUGGUGCUUAACAGAGCAUUAAAAAAGAUUUUAUUUAUGUAUUAUGUUUUGUCUAUCUAUAUGUUCACCAUGUGCAUGCCUGGAGGCCAGAAGAGGGCAUCAGAUCUCCUGGAACUGGAAUUACAGGUGGUUGUGAGGAGUUAUACGGGUGCUGGAAACUGAACCCAGUCCUCUGCAAGAGCAAUAAGUGCUCCUGGCUGCUGACCCAUCUUUCCAAGUCCUU